CCACAUCCAUUGUUGAUUAGUGAGCUUUCUUCUUUUAACUCAUUUGUCGGCACCUCUCAUUUUGUGUUCUGUAGCAGCUCCGCCAUUGCUGAUUAAGUUGAGAUUCUUCCCUGCUAAGAAACUGAUCAAUCGGGCAUAUUGCAAACACUCAAGCUUUCUCAUUCAUUGAAUCUGGUUUAUUUGAUUAGUGGCGUCAUGGCCAAGCAUGAGGUGGCUCCAUGUGUACUGUGUAUGCUUUCAUGAAGAAAGUGAGACUAUGCAGUACUAAGGCAAGCUACUAGGAAGGGAAAAACAAGAGUGGCUAACCAAGGAGAAUUUCAAAAGAAGAAGGUUGAUAAGAAAGGGAAUAAAAAUGGAGGUGCUGCAAAACUUUGUGGUCAAAUUGACCGUCUUGUUGAAGCUUAUGAAACUAGGAGUUAUGCAAACUUGUUGAUGAGGCCGCUGCAUAUAGGCAGUAGUAUUCCGGAAGUGAUAGCGUAUGUUGCACAAUUGCCCGGUUAUGAGCCACAUUGCGAGUUAUGGUUGUUUGUUACAUGUUUAUUUUGUAGUGCAGAGAAGCGAGAGGUGUUUGCUACUAUGAAAGAUCUUGAAGUCCAGCUGACUUGGUUGAAAUAUAUGUUCAACAAACAACAAUAAGGAGUUAAAACUAUGAAUCAGGACUAUGAACCUCAGAAUCACAGAACAACUCAGAGAAAAAGACCCAGAUAACAAUUCUGCCGGAUUUUGGAGCAAGAAUCGGGUCAAAAACUUCUGAGAUUGCCAGUUUGGUUGUUUGCAGCAAAGUGUCCACAGAGGCACAAGAGUGCUGCUCCCGCUGAAUUGAACAAGAAGUGGAGAUCAAGGUAACAUAUGACACUAAGAUAUCAGGGUCGUUUCUCAGUGUUGCCGCCCCAAUAUCUUGUCUUUACAAAACUUUGUAUUAUUUUCUUAGGGGUUUACUUGAAGGGUUCGAAAUCGAAUGAUACAUUUUGGAAUGUUGGUUUAUUAGUUGUGCUAAUUAUCGAAACGACUUUAAGUAUAUGAUGCUAAAUAAAUCGAUUUCUGCAGCA